UCUCCUACAUCAAGAGAGGGCUAAAAGCAAAAUGUUAAUACAUUGUUGGUUGUUAACGAGAUGGUUCCACCAACCAAUUCUCGUACCCAUGUUGUCAAUAAUACCCACAUCAAUAUUAUUAUUUGUGUUGGGAAUUUCAGAUAACUUCAGUUCCUUUGGCUCAAGUUGUCCAUGACCGUGGACACGGCUAAUCGAUUAGGUUU
rnacentral:lncRNA from 1 species